AUUGAACGCUGGCGGCAGGCCUAACACAUGCAAGUCGAACGAGUGGCGGACGGGUGAGUAAUGUCUGGGAAACUGCCCGAUGGAGGGGGAUAACUACUGGAAACGGUAGCUAAUACCGCAUACCAUCGGAUGUGCCCAGAUGGGAUUAGCUUGUAGGUGAGGUAACGGCUCACCUAGGCGACGAUCCCUAGCUGGUCUGGGAGGAUGACCAGCCACACGGGAACUGAGACACGGGCCAGACUCCUACGGUAGGAAGCAGGGGGGAAGAUUGCACAAUGGGCCAAAGCCGGAUGCAGCCAUGCCGCGUGUAUGAAGAAGGCCUUAGGGCUGUAAAGUACUUUCAGCGGGGCGGCGUUACCCGCAGAAGAAGCACCGGCUAACUCCGUGCCAGCAGCCGCGGUAAUAC
rnacentral:rRNA from 1 species